rnacentral:lncRNA from 1 species
AGAAAUAGAACCGUCUUUUCUGUAUAUUCUCCCCGGUUCCGUUGCUACCGCGCGCUUUACGCAAUCGAUCGGAUCGUGUAGAUAUCCCUUCAACACGACGUAGGUCAUCGAAAGGGUCUCGAAGACUCACCAAAGCACGAAAGUCGGGAUCUUUCAGAAAAAUGGAUUCCUAUUCGAAGGGUGCAUAACCGCAUGGAUAAGCUCACACUAACCCGUCAAUUUGAGAUCCAACUCGGGAUUUUCCUUGGGAGGUA